rnacentral:lncRNA from 1 species
AGAAAACAGAUGCUGUAUUUGAAUGCGGUAACAAUGAGAAUUUAGUAUAGGGACCCCUUGGUCAGAGUGGGCGGGCUGUGGAGAGACCACUAGUGACAGUGUAGUGUCUUGGGCUCAGUGACUUACUACAGCUUGAACAGAGGGGGCUGCCUGAUGGGAGCAGUGGCCUUGGAGGCAGGACCAGCCAGCUGUGAUGACACUGCUUCAGAGAACCAAGGAAAUGGCUGUCCCUCCCUCCUUCGGCUCUCAGGUGGGGUCUUCCUAUGACCAAACCCUGCUGGAAGCCAGAGGCACAGCCACAUGCUGAUGCACUGGGAUUGGUUUUCCUCCUGCUUCACAUAGCAGUGGGGAAUAACUGAGAAUAGAUCUGGAAAGUAAUUAAAAAUAUCUGGCAAAAGACUGUCCUCAGAAAGUUACCUGCACUGGGGAGAGGGGGAUUCCCUGGGAGACAGGGUGCAUUUUCCCUCGGCCCUCUUAUAAUCUCCUUUUCCAUCACUUCCCCUUGGGUGGGGAGAGGCUCACAAUGUAAGUAGUUUUGCUCUGGCACUCGCUCCUGCCACGAUGUGAUGCCUCAUCACAAGAAAUGAUGGGAGGCACCUACACCCCUGGAAUCUUCACUAUGGAUCUUGGACAUCAUGAAGUCAGACUUUGCUGGAGGAAGGCAUGGAUCAGAUCUGUCAUUCUCAGUUGAGAAGUGAGAUAAAAUUGGCCAUGAUCCUACCUGAAGAGACCUUCUACAGGGGCUCACUUGCCUAUUCUAGAAACCAGAUGAUCAGUUAUUUUUUCUGACAAACAAGCAAGCCUGAACCCUCCUGCAGGGGAAUUGCAGAGGCAAGGGCACCAUGAGAGACACUGAGGAAUGGUCACCUUUGACCUACAGAGGACAGCUGCCUUGGGCUGAGGGAUUAGGAGACAGUGGGCUGUGAUCAAAGAACCCCAAAGAAAGGAACCUUAAACCUUUAUCUCCAAAGCUUCUGGCAAUUCAAGCUCAUCUCCACUGGAGCAUCAAAGCUGGUGUAGGAGAGCAUCACAUAGCCUUCAGCAUCAAGUAGACUUGCAACUUGUAUAAAUUUUGCCACCAGACUUCCUGGUGAUGAAAAUACUUUAGAAAGAAGCCACAUCCUUUCCCUGUGACUCCAGAGAUCCUAACAAGACUUUUCAGGUCUGGAGAGGCCACACAGAAGCAAGCUGACAGCUGGGCAAUACAAGGAGACUUUCAUGCAGCGGCUCUGAUAGUGACAGGCAGCCCCAGUGAGCUGAGGAACAUUUCUAAAGCUUAAGCUGCCAUGUCACACACAGCAACACUUUCAGAGUGUCAAAUGCUGGAGCUGUAAUGACUUUCUUGUGCGUAUUGUUUGAAAAUAGAAGUGAGUAUGCUAUUCUAAAGCUGGUGUUGAGACAGUGUAGACAAGACUAAUUUGGUAAAAAGUAAAUUGAUAAGAAUUUCAAAGAACAGUUCCAGCAAGAACUGAUAAGAGCAGUUUCAUCGAGUAAAUUCAGACACAACACAUACUUCCUGAGAACUUAAGUGAGCCCAGCACCAGACACUGGGAUGAGGUCUUUUAUCCCAGUCUUGGGGUUAAUUCUCAUGAAGACCUUAAUGGAGAAAUAUUACCUUCUUCCAUGCGUUACAACUGAGACUGACGUGGUGGCUCUGAAGUGUUUGUUCAAGUCACACAGCUACUGUGGGAGGGAAAAAGAGUUCAAACCAGGUCUGUCUGCCUUGAGAUUCACUUUGAUUUCAGUGAAAGAAGAGGAACUUUUUCACAGUUAUUUGUCUGGGUCUAUAUGUACACACAAGCAAGAGCUCUCCGGCAGUCACUUGAGCUAAAAUUUCUCUGGUUCACUUUACAAUGUGAAAUCUUUUGGAAAGAAAUGUGGUAGAGACAAUGCCAUGUAACUCCACACAUAAGCUGAGGAGGAGGGGUAUUAAGCUGUGGCUGUGUUUGUGGCUUGUGUUUUGUGGUUUCGCAUUUUUGUUUCUUGAGUGCUUAUUAUAUGUCAGGCUUCUCACUUGGUCCUCACAGUGCCCUUUAAAGGUGGUCACAGUCACAGGUGGCUUUACAGGGAAACAUUCACAAGGAGCAGUAUAUCAUUAGGUGUAUUCAGAGUCUGUGCAAAGAUUAUAGAGUGUACUUACACAGACCUAGGUCAGUGCUUCUGUAUGGUCUCUGAAUGCAACACAGAGACUCAGUAAACACAAGAUAUAUGAGGCUGCUGCCAGUGUAACACGGUAUACUGUUUUUAAUCAGUAGAAUUAGGCUAAAAUAACAAUAAAAUCAUAGUGUGGUCAAUACAUAAGCCAGUAGCAUGUUUACUAUCAUUAUUGAGAAUUCUAUGCUAUACAAAACUGUAUGUACUAUAUUUUUAUAUGAUUGCCAGGGGAGUUCAUUUGUAACAGCCUUACUACCCACACAUGACCAAUGUGCUGUGCUAUAUUGUUAUCAUGGCUACAACAUCACUAGGUGAUAGGAAUCUUUUAGCUCCAUUAAAAUGCUAUGGGACCAUGAAUCAUGUAUGUGGUUUGUCAUUGACUAAAACAUUUUGUGGCUCACGACUAUGGUAGUAUGUGCACUUUACAAAUAAGAGGGAAAGGGUAUUUGGAAGGUUAUGUCCUUAAAGCUCACAGAGCUAGCUAGUCACUAUCAAAGCCAAGAUCAGAAUUUAGGUUUUCUGGUUUGAAAGCCCUUGUUAUUUUUGCCACAAAAUCCUGUCAGCUUGUUGUUCUGAAUCUGAGACCAAGGAAGAGCUAGGAUUUUUCUUUCUGAGAAAUGUGAUGAGUGAAAUGAGAGAACAGAGAGGUCCCAGCAAAUACCCUUAAACCCAUAUUGGCUUCUGAGUGGUGUGUGUGUGGGGAGCAAGAUCUAGACCAGGCAAGGUAGGCGGACGGGAACCUCAUCCGGUCCAACCCGGAAGCUCAGGCCUAGAGGAGACACUGCCUGGAGGCCACUGUGGGAUGCGAGAGAGCACGAGGCUGCCACCAAAUCCUGAUCCAGCAAGUGGUUUCAUCUGGGAGGCUUCAUUUUUCCCCUUUAAAAUGGGGAUAAAGGAGGCCCUGUGGAAGGGAAAGAAGACAGGGAAAGUGACUCUGAGGUAGGGGUUCAGUAGACUCUAGCCUUCCGGGCCACAGCCCUAAAUGGUCAGGCAGGGCAUCACUCCUUGUCUGGGAACGCUUGGAGGCUGUUCUCCAGCCUGUGGGGCAUCAGGGGCUCUAUCAUACCCUUCCUCAGGUCAGAGUCACUGACGGCAGAGCCCUCGGUGUCGAGGUCAUUUGGGCAAAGGGGUCUGCAGAGUGCGGCUCCAACUCAGCGUUCCUCAGCUUGCAGCCUCCUGAAACUCAGUCACAGGUUGAAACUGCAACCCCGCUGGUGACUGCUUCCUUGUUGCUAAGCGACCAAAUAUCUGAUAUUAAGCUCCUGUUGAUGAAGCUAA